GCCGGGCGUGGUGGCGCACGCCUGUAGUCCCAGCUACUCGGGAGGCUGAGGCAGGAGAAUCACUUGAACCCAGGAGGAGGAGGUUGCAGUGAGCCGAGAUCGCGCCACUGCACUCCAGCCUGGGCAACAGAGUGAGACUCCAUCUCAA
rnacentral:SRP_RNA from 1 species